UCAUAUAGCUACUUCUAAGCAUUUAUUCAACUUGGCCCCUUCACCAGUCAUUACUUCUUAAUUAGUGGAAAUGAAAAUGAGUAAUGUUCUUAUGCUCCUGGUGAAGUUCAUUUCCCCUCUUAUAACCAGAUACCAGCUAGAAUGCUGAUUGUGCAAUAGCUUCCCAUAAUAUACCAUAGCUAAGCCAAUAAUCACUUCUUACUUUGUAGUCCUUCACAUGUGCUCCAUUUCCUCUUCCUCCUCAUCUUCAUACUCCUCAUCAGCAGUAGCAUCCUGGUACUGCUGGUACUCAGACACCAGAUCAUUCAUGUUGCUUUCAGCUUCAGUAAACUCCAUCUCAUCCAUUCCUUCACCAGUAUACCAGUGCAAGAAGGCCUUUCUCCUGAACAUGGCAGUGAAUUGUUCACUCACUCUCCUGAACAUUUCCUGGAUAGAGGUAGAGUUCCCAAUGAAGGUGGAUGACAUGGAGAGGCCCCUAGGUGGAAUGUCACAGACGCUGGAUUUCACAUUAUUUGGAAUCCACUCAACAAAGUAUGAUGAGUUUUUGUUUUGGACAUUGAUCAUCUGCUCAUCAACUUCCUUGGUGCUCAUCUUUCCACGGAACAUGGCAGAGGCAGUAAGAUAACGUCCAUGCCUUGGAUCAGCAGCACACAUCAUGUUCUUGGCAUC
rnacentral:misc_RNA from 1 species